rnacentral:rRNA from 1 species
AUUGAACGCUGGCGGCAGGCCUAACACAUGCAAGUCGAGCGAGCGGCGGACGGGUGAGUAAUGUCUGGGAAACUGCCUGAUGGAGGGGGAUAACUACUGGAAACGGUAGCUAAUACCGCAUACCAUCAGAUGUGCCCAGAUGGGAUUAGCUAGUAGGUGGGGUGAUGGCUCACCUAGGCGACGAUCCCUAGCUGGUCUGAGCGGGUGACCAGCCACACUGAAACUAAGACACAGUCCAGGAUGCUACGGGGGGCAGCAGAGGGGAAUAAUGCACAAGGGGCGCAAGCCGGAUGCAGCCAUGCCGCGUGUAUGAAGAAGGCCUUCGGGUUGUAAAGUACUGUAAGCGAGGAGGCAUUACUCGCAGAAGAAGCACCGGAUAACUCCGUGCCAGCAGCCGCGGUAAUAC